AUUGAACGCUGGCGGCAGGCCUAACACAUGCAAGUCGAGCGAGCGGCGGACGGGUGAGUAAUGUUUGGGAAACUGCCUGAUGGAGGGGGAUAACUACUGGAAACGGUAGCUAAUACCGCAUUCCAUCAGCUGUGCCCAGAUGGGAUUUGCCUGUAGGGGGGGUAACGGCUCACCUAGGCGCCGAUCCCUAGCUGGUCUGAGAGGUUGACCAGCCACACUGGAACUGAGACACGGUCCAGACUCCGAAGGGAGGCAGCAGUGGGGAAUAGUGCACAAUGGGCGCAAGCCUGAUGCAGCCAUGCCGCGUGUGUGAAGAAGGCCUUCGGGUUGUAAAGCACUUUCAGCGGGGAGGCGUUACCCGCAGAAGAAGCACCGGCUAACUCCGUGCCAGCAGCCGCGGUAAUUC
rnacentral:rRNA from 1 species